AUGCCAUGGCGAUCUGGCUGCGUUGUCUUCUCUGCUUCUCUUGACUUCGUGCCACUCCUCAUAUUCCUCGAGUGGAUCUGCGAACCUUGUACCCCCUCCUCAUCCUCCAUCCAUGGUUGGUUUUAUCCGGCGAAUCUUGUAUGUUGCCCUGUGUUGCCGUGGUUCCUAGAUGUUUUGGAUGUUAUACAGUGGAUCCCUCUUGUAGUUGUCGAGGUGGAUCCCUCCUGGUUGGUUGUAGAUGCUGAACUCCUACUGUGUACCAUCCCUCCUGUAGUUGUCGCUACGGACCCCUCCUGUUUGGAUUGGGUUCAAAGGAUUCUUAGUGGAUUUACAAUUGUAAUUUUCAGUGGAUUUACAAUAUCGUGCCCCCAGUGGAAGCAUGAUCGAGCACUCCACGGAGGUGAUGCAGCUCGUUGUCCCCAACCCAUUGACGUGCUCACCUACCUCGCAUGGAAGAUAUCUGAGUUCCCCGCGUGCCGCGUGAUUGGCUUCGUCACCAACCUUCACUCCUCCAAGUUCAGAUUCCUCAUCGCCGAGAACCUCGGUGUCAAUGCGCAGGACGUGCAGUCGGAGUGGUGGGUGGAUAAUUGUUCCAGCGCCUUCCUUGGAGAUCUUCUCCCCAGUGGCCGAUUUAUUCUCUCUCCCCACAGAAGUGAAGGACCCUCCCCUACAUUGUCGUCUCCUUUUGGCCCUCCUCUUCUUAGUAGGCCAGCAAGUACACAUCUGCAUACUAAUCGUAGAAUUGUCAUGUCCCAUGAUCGGAUUGGAAGUGGAGGCGCGAACCAGGGGGACGAGGUCAAGUCUAUUAGCUUGGAUAGAUGUUGGCACUAUAUUAGUUUGAAGAGCUUGGGAAAUCAAAACAAGAAUGUUGCUUUUGCUACACUCUAA
rnacentral:rRNA from 1 species